AGAUUUUGGCAAAAUUAUGGCAUCUUAAAACUUAAUCCUUUCCAUCUAUGAUUCAUAGCAAGUUCUUUUGAUCUCUUUCAAAAUAAGACUAACCUUCCAGCCUUGGAUUAACAUGUCAUAAUUCUUCUUUUUUUUUUCAAGAAAUUAAUUGCUCCUGAUUAAUUCUACAUAGAAAUUUAAUCGGUUAAAUGUAAGUAGGAGAAAGCUUUAGUAUCAAAUGCUCCUCAUUUUUUUUUUCCAUGAUAUAAUGAUCAACCUUUGUCUUAUAAAACCUCAAGCCCUUUCAAAUAGCCAGAUUAACGAUGUUAGAAUUAGGAAUAUGAGAUCCAUGUUAAAACUUUUCAGAUCUAAGUCCAACCAAGUAACCAUCAAUCCGUGAAUACUAAAUUUAAGAUGCCCAAGAUUCUCCCAAGAAUUGUCAACAAUAGAAAACCCCACUGAUGAAAAUUACAUAGCUACCUUCAGAUUAUUCAUAGAACCAACAACAUUCUUCUCUACUAGAAGACUAACCUCAGUCUUCCAAUAGUUCUACUUAUCAAUAUAAUUUCAUCUUAUCAUAAGAAUAAGGUCCAAUACCUCCAGAUUUGGUUCUUUUAUAGAUGGUGUAAAUCAAACUUCUCUCUCUCAUAAAUAAAAAUCAACGUCUUAAUUUUGAAUAAGAACAUCAAGUUUCUUUGUCAAAAUAUCUACUACUCUUGAUUAAUCGAUCUAUCACAAGAUUAGAUCAUAAAUAACUCUAAUCCACCCCUAGUGGAAUAUUCAUCAAAGUCACUUGACAACCUCAAGUUUUUUUUUUUUUCCAAUAGAGGGUUGAUAUUAAUUGAAGAAGUACAAGCUUCAGAUUUAGGAGGAAAGAGGUCUACACCAAAAUAUUCCAGAUCCAAAAUCAAAAUCAAUGAUCUAUUAAUUCUAGUCUCAAGAUGUUAAUCAUUUCCUUAGCAUGACAUAAAAUUAGAGAACCUAAGAUGGUGCAGCGAUAUCCAAAAAUUCAAAAUCAAAUCAAGUCUUUUGUUAUUAAAACUUGCCGAAUUAAAGGGAUAAUACUUCUGACCAACUUAGAAAAAUAGUUCGGACCACUACGCUUUCGCUGCGCACUCUGAUUCAAACCACCAAAAAUUUUUUUUAAUCAAAAUACUACUUUGUAUUUUGAACUAAGGAGAUUCAAAAUUUUAAUUUCCAAGUAAAGCCCGAAAAGAACUUUUGAUUUCAUCCUCUAACUUCCCCCGAGUACAUCCAUCUAGACUGAUCCUCGAGUCAAUUGAUACGUUCAAAAACACCAUAUAGGCUAGUUACUAUCAUUCAAAAUAAAUUAAAUCUUAAUUCUCUCAUCUACUCAACUGGACGGUUUCAAGUCAAACUCUUACAAGUAAAAAUAACUAGAAAAAUGUUCUCAAUGCUCCACCAAGUUAGAAGACCUUAAAUCAAUAGAUAGAAGUAAAAUUGACUCGGCGAUCUCUUCUAGAGUUUUCUUCAUCAAGAUCUAUAGCAUUUAUUAAAAAUCUUCCAUCAUAAUCAUGUAAGCCUCUAAAAUUCUUUUUUUUUUUAUGAGAAUCUAGAUUUUAUCAGCAACUGCAACAAUAUUGACAAAAGACCCUAGAUCAGCUUAUAAAUCCAAACUUUGAAUUGAAGUUUCAUAUACAUUACAUAAUUUUUGAUAAACAUGAACAAGAUCUAUUAUUUGAAUCCAAAGGUGAUAAUUUAAAUUAUUAAUAAUUUCAUCGAGAUGAAUACUUUAUAAUCUCCAAUAAAAUCAAUUCUUCGAGAUUGAUAUUUAUCCCUGAUUUCUUUCGAAAGAAUAAGCUACAAAUCAAAGAGAAAAUCAAUCUAUACUAAAUCAUUCCAAAUCCAAGAUUAGCCAAUGCAGGAACUAUUAAUCCUAGACUUAGAAUGCCAGAUUUCUCUCUCUCAUUUUUUUUUUCAUAGCAGAUAGAAGAACCUACUAAUAACAUGAUAAUAUCCAUAUCAGUCAAAAUCAAAAACAAUAUUCUUUUCUUUGACAAUGAAAUUCUCCUUAACAAGAAAACCCAUCAGAAAAUAUUUUNN
rnacentral:lncRNA from 1 species